ACAAACUCUAACAGUUUGCUUACUGCUUGCCAGUUAACGCAGGACCAGCUCCCAGAAUGAAUGCUUUUUAAUCAACGUUGUUCACUGCUCUAUGCCCCACGGCCUACUGUAAUGUUUGAGACAGGUUGAAGACAGAACAAGCUGGAGAACAAGGAGUCAGAAGAUUAGAAGACAUUUCCAAGCAAACAGGAAGGAGAGAGCAUUGGCCAGGAGUCUUGUGAGACUGAAGGCAGCCCAAGUCCAGUAAUCAGGAAGUUCGGGAGGAAAGAACAUUUGUGAGGCACACCUUUUGAGCACCUGAACUUGGAUCGGGUGACAAAGAAGGAGGUAUAUCUGAGGCUUCCAAGACUGGGCCAAGUGGAAUUAGGUGAAAGACAACUUGAUGAGAAAACCACAUUGCCCAUUGAGAGAGAUACAGCAUGGACACUGUGAAUGACAGCUAUUAACCAAAGCAAGGAACAAGGAAUGAUCACAUUUCAAAUACCAUGCUCUAUGGGAGAGGAGGGGUGGAAUGGAGGAGAGGCAACGAAGAUGCGAAGAC
ensembl:lncRNA